CACAUUUUCCACUGUUGUUAUAUAAUAAAUUGACCUACCUAAAUAUUAUGAUUUACGACUUAUGAGUAUGUAACUUAUGAUUUAUUACGGCUUAGUCGCAAAUUUUAAAAAUUUACUCGAAAAUUCUCGCAAAUAAAAGCGCAUAGUUUGGUAUCAAUUAUGAAAUUCUAGGGCGACUUGGAAGGGCUAUUUGAAAUUGGCCCACCCUUCUAUUUUUUAAUUAUAAUUCGCAAACGGCUUACUCGCAAAUUUUAAAAAUUAACUCGCAAAUUCUCGUAAAUAACUCACAAAAAAAAUUGGUAUAGGUACCAAGUUAAUCAAUGAAUAAGGGUGGACCGCCAACUUCACGUACGUCAGUCGUGUAGUUUAUUUUCUCGUUUUGUCUAUACGCGUAAUAACUCAGGACACGGAAAACGACUGAUAUAAUCAUAAUAUGCAUCACUAUUUAACAGCAUUUGCAUAUCAGCUGAUCUGUAAACCUUGGUACGUUUCAAGCGAUCAGUGAUUAUAAUUUACACAUACAUUUAGAUACAGUAUAAAUAUACAUAUGCACUUAAACACGAAUGGAUUCAUUAGCAUAUUUUGUAUAAGAGUUGUAGUUUCGUUAAAUAAAAUACAUUCUCUGUAUACUUAUUGAUAGACAUAGUGAAUUUUAUUUUUUAAUAACAAAACAGUUAUAAAAUACAACAAUAAUAGGGAACGUGACACUGUAUAGUUCGUUUGGCGAAAUAAAAUUGUCAUAUUCUGAUAAACAUGAUUUAGGACGAUUAUGGCGAUCAUAUGAGUACAUGUUUUUGCUUUUUUGGCAUUUAAUUUUCUCCUGAUAGUGAAGCGGUAUGACACACGUCAUACAGUCCUUGAACACGCGAGAUAACGGCCAAACUCGUACUGCAAAUUCGUAUACAUUUGGUAGCUACUUAGUAAAAUCGCUCAUUUCAAGAAGUGGAUGUUCACUACUUGAAACGUAUCCAUUAAUGAAUGUAAUAAUGUACAUAAUUCGACUAUAUUUCAUGUCAUAAAUACAUUUUUUAAAUAAUUAAUAAAUAAUUUACACUAAUUGAUUAUACAUCAUGUCAAAAACCAAUAAAUAACGAUUCUAUCGAUACGGGCACAGACAAAACGAUUAAAAUAAUAAAAGCCUAAACUAACUACGAGUAUAACCUAUCGCCAAUAAGCCGAACCUUCAAAGGACCGGUCCAAGGUCCAUCCCACCAUACUUUCCUAUAUAACAUGAGUUCACAAUCCUCUACCCAGCUACUUGGCCAGAGACCUUCAGUGCGUGCGUACCGACAUAUUAGUUAUAGGUCAUCAGGGUGUGGAUCACGCUUUUAGCCUAUAGGCUAUCAAUGCGUGCGUAUCAAACUUUUGGUCAUACGUGCGCACUGAUCGUCGGGACCAUCCGAGGAGCUUCUAGUUUACACUUUACGUUUUGAAUUUUCUUGUGCGAGUGACGGAAAAUGUCUAUCAUCAGCUUUCUGAAUACUUUGUCUGUGUUGGUUGAUUUCAACCUCACUUCACUCCUUUAGUAGUCAUAAGUGGUCGGCUCAUCGAUGCAUUAGCUCAUAUGUUAUGAAACAGUUUAAAGGAAAAACAUUUCGUCGAUAGCUUGAAAGUCAAGAAAAGUGGUCAUGACUGGCGAUGUUUCCUUUCAGAGAUUCACCUGUCACUCGCACACACGCCACACACUCUCAAAUGUGGUCAAAAGAAAAAAAAUUUCGCACACAAAUGGUCGUUCAUAUAAUACGACGAUAUCGUGUGUUCUCUCCUUUGGUGGUAUUAUUUAUUCAGUCAGCAGUUUUAAUUAAACCGACCGCAGUUGGCUAGAUGACAAGCUUUGCGACUAAAAUACUGUCGACCAUACCAGAUGUUACGCCUCGGAAUCCAUCAAACAGAAAGUGGGUGAUCAUUUGAUCCCGUUAUAAAUUUAAAUAAUUAUAGAAACAAUAAGUUGAAAUGUAUACUUAAAGAAAAUACGUUUUGAAAACUUAAAUCAGUGCUUCUCAACCUUUUUCAAACUGUCACCCCCCUAAGAAGCAAAAUGUUUUUCAAUGCCCUCCCCCCUUCACUUGAUUAAAAUAAAAAUAAAAUUGUAGAUAUACAUUAGGGUGUCCCUUAUUUCUGAAAUUAAUUUUUUUUGAAUCCAUAACCUCUAAUUUUUUUCUAUUUGGUCUUAAACUACCGAAUAUGAAAUAUUUCCCUCCUAGAAUAAA